GGCAAUGUAGUAUAGUGGUAAGACGUUGGGCUCAUAAUCGAACGGUUGCUGGUUCGAUUCCCUGCAGGGGCA